UGGGGAAUAUUGCGCAAUGGGGGGAACCCUGACGCAGCAACGCCGCGUGAAGGAUGAAGGUUUUCGGAUUGUAAACUUCUUUGGCAGGGGACGAUAAUGACGGUACCCUGAGAACAAGCCCCGGCUAACUACGUGCCAGCAGCCGCGGUAAUACGUAGGGGGCAAGCGUUAUCCGGAUUUACUGGGUGUAAAGGGGGCGUAGACGGCAUAGUAAGUCUGAUGUGAAAUGCGGGAGCUUAACUUCCGAACGGCAUUGGAUACUGCUUUGCUAGAGCAAUGGAGGGGAAACCGGAAUUCUCGGUGUAGCAGUGAAAUGCGUAGAUAUCGAGAGGAACACUCGUGGCGAAGGCGGGUUUCUGGACAUUAGCUGACGCUGAGGUACGAAGGCCAGGGUAGCGAAAG
rnacentral:rRNA from 1 species